GACGAACGCUGGCGGCGUGCUUAACACAUGCAAGUCGAACGGUGAAGGGGUCUGCUUUUGUGGGCCCUGGAUGAGUGGCGAACGGGUGAGUAACACGUGAGUAACCUGCCCCCUUCUUCUGGAUAACCGCAUGAAAGUGUGGCUAAUACGGGAUAUUCUGGGUCUGUCGCAUGAUGGGUCUGGGAAAGAUUGCGCCUUUGGGUGUUUUUGGUGGGGGAUGGGCUCGCGGCCUAUCAGCUUGAUGGUGGGGUGAUGGCCUCCCAAGGCUGCGACGGGGAGCCGGGCGGGGGGUGUGCACCGUCACACUGGGACUGCGACACAGCCCAGACUCGUACGGGGCGGAGCAAUUUGGAAUAUUGCACAAUGGGGGCAAGCCGGAUGCAGCGACGCCGGGUGAGGGAGGGAUGGCUUCGUGUUGUACACCUCUUUCGGAAGUGAAGCAGUCCUGCUCAUUGUGGGUGGGUUGACGGUAGCUGGAUAAGAAGCGCCGGCUAACUACGUG
rnacentral:rRNA from 1 species